rnacentral:pre_miRNA from 1 species
GCUUAUGGAUGAAGAAAAAAAGUGGUUUCAUAAGAUGUGAUCUAAUCCUGGUGAAAAAUGCUGUGAA